UGGCUGUGUGAGUAAAGUGAAGGUAUGUAUUUGAGAGGUAUUGUAGAGUUAGAAAUGACAAGACUUUCAAAAUAAUUUGGAUAUGUGAAAUUAGAAGUGAAGAGAGAAGAAAAAUAUUGAUGAUGCAGACUUCUGUGACUAGAAGAGUAGGUAGGCACUCAAUAGAAAUAGGGGAAGAUUAGUUAUGAGGGAAAGAGAAGUUGGGUUCUCCUUUGCAGAUAUAUUGAGUUUCCUAUACUUAUCAAAAAGGGAAAAGAGAUGUCAAAUAAUAACAUGUAAAGUCAAGAAUACUUUAUAAGCUUGGAGAGGCCACGGUAUAUUUUAUAGGAAUAGAAAUGUCAUUGCAUUCCAUAACCUUUGAAUUGUUCUUUUCCCCAUUGGUUAUGCAAUAAGACAGGACUAUGCAACUAUAAGAUCUGUAACCCAGUAGCAAAAAACAGAGAUGAACUGAUCUAAAUUUGACUCGAUAGUAUGCAAAAUUAUAUAAUCUCAAAUGGUGAUUCAAGAAUAAUUGGUGUUUUCAACUGGGAUCUAAAAGAUUCUGAAUCCCCAAACUGAUGAAAACCUUCUUUUCCUAUUGAGCAAGGAAUUCAUAUUAAGUGGACAUAAAGAAGAAAAUGUUCCCCUCUCUCCUGAUAUCACUGUGAAUUAUAUAGAAGGUGGCAAUAGACUUGGUUGCUAUGGGAAAGAGGACAUCCCUAACAGUCUGAGGAUCAGUCUGAACCUGUCCCCAGAUACUCCAGAAAACACUCUUACUGCCUUACAUAUACACUGAGCCCUUCUGAGAAAUAUAACAUGGGACUUUCUGGAAGAUCCAGGGGAUUGAGUGGGCUUUAUUACAUCCUGACCAUUAUGUAUCUCAAUUCUUCCAGCUUAAUGGGGGAUAUAAAUAUAAAUGGAUUAGUAAAUGUUCAACAAUCAGCUUUCCAAGGGAAAAGAAAAAUGUAUGCAGGGCACUUUUAAAUUUAUUCUACUUUAUCAACAUUUUAUCUGUUCCUUCCUUAAAUUUAUAUAAUCAAAGAUAGAGAGACAUACAGACAGUCAGAUAGAUAGAUAGAUAGAUAGAUAGAUAGAUAGAUAGAUAGAUAGAUAGAUGGAUGGAUGGAUGGAUGGAUGAAUGGAUCAAGUCCUGAUUCUAGUGACUGAUAAUUUCUGAAGUGUGAAGGCUCACACUGAAAAUUUAACAAUCUGUUCUUUCAAGCCAGUAAGAAUUGGCUCCAAGAUACACUGAAUAUGAGGGAACAUGACUGCAAGUGGGAAUUAUAAUGCAAAUGAAGUGCUGAUCUAUAGAGAAUGAGAAAAAAAUGGCCCCAAAAGCAAGCAGAGGUAUCUAAGAGGAGGUUCAGAAAUUGUAAAAAAUAAACAAAGAAAAAAGAAAUUAGUAUGACAAAAAUUAAUGCACCUUCCUAGUGGGCAGCUAGGUAGCUCAGUGGAUUGAGAGCUAGCCUUAGAGACGGGAGGUCCUAGGUUCAAAUCUGGCCUCAGACACUUCCCAGCUGUGUGACCCUGGGCAAGUCACUUGACCCCCAUUGCCUAGCCCUUACCACUCUUCUGCCUUGGAGCCAAUACACAGUAUUGACUCUAAGACGGAAGGUAAGGGUUUAAAAAAAAAAUUAAUGUACCUUCCUAAUGAAAAAUGUUACUGAUCUCCACUCAGAAAUAAUGGGAAUGAAGGAUGACAGACACUGAGUCAUAGCAAUGAUACUUAGAUUCUUGGUGUCAACAACCUUUCCCAGUUCUUUAGAACCAAUUCUGGGGUUUUCUCACCUCUGUAGCUCAGGAGGGGACUCCUUUCAAAGGAAGGCAGCUACUCUUCUCCACAUUAAAUAGAGGAAGUCAUGCAAAUUGGGCUCCUCCCUCUAGGCAUGAAAGCCAACACAAAACCCAUGUCUGCAGCUCUGGGAAAGGAGCUUCUUCUUUGUGUGAACGUUCUCUCCUAAGGAUUCACACUGUGUAGCCUAAACCAUGGGUUUUGGAUUAAUUGGAAUUUUCAUUCUUUCUAUUUUGCAAGGUGUCCAUUGUGAUAUUCAGCUGUUGGAGUCUGGAGGAGAUGUGAGACAGCCUGGAGGAUCCUUGAAACUCUCCUGCAAAGCUUCUGGAUUCACCUUCAGCAGCUAUGGCAUGAAUUGGGUCCGCCAGGCUCCAGGGAAAGGGCUGGAGUGGGUCUCAUACAUUAAUACUGAUGGAAGUAGCACAAACUAUGCAGACUCUGUCAAAGGUCGAUUCACCACCUCCAGAGACAAUGGCAACAGCCUGCUGCACCUGCAGAUGAAUUCCCUGAAAGCUGAGGACACAGCCACGUAUUACUGUGUGAGAAACUUACUCAUAGGUUUUUCAGGUCACUGGGGCCAAGGAAUCACAGUGACUAUUUCCUCAGCUCUCCCAUCUGCACCAAAUCUCUUCUCCCUCUCACCCUGUUUGAAUUCUGGAGUCGAAGAUGCCCCUGUGGCUGUGGGUUGUUUGGCAAAGGAUUUUCUACCUGAUUCCAUUAACUUCUCCUGGACCUACCAAAACCAAAGUGCUGUAAGUCACACAGAUUUAAGGAUCUUCCCAUCUCAAAUGAGCGGCCCUACAUACACAGCCACCUCCCAAGUGAUCCUCCCUGCCUAGGAUGUCCUUCAAGACAGUUACUUGGUAUGUAAGGCCAGCCAUCUCAACAGCAACAAGCAAGUUCAAGUUUCCCUCCCAGAUGCUACCACCAGUUCCCCUAAUGUGACUGUGUACAUCCCACCCCGUGAUGCAUUCUCCAACUCUGGCCUAUGAAAAUCCAAGCUCAUCUGUCAAGUCACUGACUUCAGACCAAGGGAGAUCAAGUUAACAUGGCUGCGAGAGGGGAGGCCAGUUUCAUCAGGCUUCUCUACGGGUCAAGUCCUACCUGACGGUUCUGGAACCUACUUCCUGCAGAGCAGUCUGACUAUUAAUGAGAGUGACUGGUUCAGCCAGAGCACAUUCACUUGCCGAGUAGAUCACCUCAAUGCCCAAUUCCAGAGGAAUGUUUCCUCGAGGUGUGCCAUCAGCACAGAUUCACCCAUUGAAGCUUUUGCCAUUCCCCCCUCCUUUGCAAGUAUCUUUGUUACUAAAUCAGCCAAAUUAACCUGUGUAGUCACAAACCUGCCCACCUAUGACAGUUUGAGCAUUUCCUGGACUCGUAAGGAUGGACAGCUUCUGAAAACUAAAGUUAAAGUAUCUAGCAGCCACCCCAAUGGUACCUUUACUGCUGAGGGAGAAGUCUGUUCAGAGGAAUGGAAUUCAGGGGAGGCAUUUAAAUGCAUCGUGACUCAUUCUGAUCAUCCUGUUCCCUUGAAGAAAGAAAUCUUCAAGCCACAGGAAGUUGACCUGCAUACUCCAUCUGUCUACCUGUUGUCUCCAAAUCCUGAGGAGCUGAGCCUGAGAGAAUCAGUUACUGUAACCUGCAUGUUUUGUCCAGUGGAUGCACAAAGGACAGCCCAUACCCUCAGAGAAAUAUGUCACCAGCAGCCCCCAUCAGGAUCCCCAGAAAGGUGGUCGCUACUUCUCCUACAGUAUCCUGACAGUGUCAGAGGCACAGUGGAAUUCAGGGGAUCCUUUCACCUGUGUGGUAGCUCAUGAAGCAUUGCCCUUUUCAUCAACUGAGAGGACCAUGGACAAGUCCACUGGUAAACCCACCCUCAUCAAUGUCUCCCUUGUGCUAGCUGACACAACCAAUUACUAAAAGAGUUACUGAGGGACUUCCGGUUAAGAUGGCGGCUUAGAGAAAGCUAAAGCUCAGAUCUCCUGAAAACCCUUCCCGACCGAUCUCAAACGAUAAGCUCCUAAGGCGCCGAAAUUCAAAACGAUCAACAGCACAGACCCUGGGAACCCUCCUCCUGGACCUGGACCCGGUUCAAAAGGUACGGCUCCCCUUAAAAGCCAGAACCCGAGAUCACUCGGACCUCAGGGGUAGGAUUGCAGAGUCCAAGGCUCCUGGAAGCCGCAGCCCGGCCGGGCUCAGAGAGCAGAACCCUCAGGGCCUUCUACAGUCCCGGUGAAAGUUACUGCCUGGGGCUUCCGCUGCAGAGAGCUGGUCGAAACAACAGCAACCCUCAGGGCGGGCAAGACAGCCUCACGGGCUGGAUCCUGCUAUCCAAGUCUCAGUGAAAGUCCUUGCCCGGAGCUUGGGAAAGCUGCAGCCCAUCCCCCCGCAGGCCAAUGAAACAGCCUCACGGCCAGCGAUUCUGAAGGCAACUUCCGGAAAGCGAGCCGGGGGGACAGUGUGGCCUCGUGGUCCGACCCUUCCAUUCCAGUUCCAGUGAGGCAUAUUCAGUUUAACCCAGGGAAAGCUCAUAGAACUAUCUGCCCAGGACUAAAGCCCCUGAACACCAGAAAGAGACAAGAAAAACUAAUCCUCCACAUUCAGAAAUGGCAAACUCCACAGAACCACAGAAGCCCCAAAAUACCAAGAAAAAUAAGAAGAAAGGGGUGACUUUGGACACAUUCUAUGGAGCCAAAAUACAAAAUACAGAGCAGACAGAAGAUAAUAUAAAAGAAAAUGCUCCAAAACCUUCCAAAGGAAAUGGAAACUCUCCACAAACCUAUGAAGAAUUUGAAUCAGAAAUGACCAAAAAGAUGGAAGCCUUCUGGGAGGAAAAGUUGGAAAUAAUGCAAAAGAAAUUCACGCAUCUACAAAACCAGUUUGACCAAACUGUAAAAGAAAACCAGGCUUUAAAGGCCAGAAUCAGGCAGCUGGAAGACAACGAUCGUGUAAAAGAGCAAGAAUCAAUAAAGCAAAGCCAAAAUACCAAGAAAUUAGAAGAGAACAUAAAAUAUCUCACCGACAAGGUGAUAGAUCUGGAAAAUAGGGGGAGAAGGGAUAAUUUAAGAAUAAUUGGACUCCCAGAUAAGCCAGAAAUAAACACCAAACUGGACAUGGUGAUACAAGAUAUAAUCAAAGAAAAUUGCCCAGAGAUUCUAGAACAAGGGGGCAAUACAGCCACUGACAGAGCUCACAGAACACCUUCUACACUAAACCCCCAAAAGACAACUCCCAGGAAUGUAAUUGCCAAAUUCCAAAGCUAUCAAACAAAAGAAAAAAUCCUACAGGAAGCCAGAAAAAGACAAUUUAGAUAUAAAGGAAUGCCAAUCAGGGUCACCCAAGACCUUGCAAGUUCUACUCUGAAUGAUCGUAAGGCAUGGAACAUGAUCUUCAGAAAGGCAAGAGAGCUGGGUCUCCAACCAAGAAUCAGCUACCCAGCAAAACUGACUAUAUACUUCCAAGGGAAAGUAUGGGCAUUCAACAAAAUAGAAGACUUCCAACUUUUUGCAAAGAAAAGACCAGAGCUCUGUGGAAAGUUUGAUACCGAAAAUCAAAGAGCAAGGAAUACCUGAAAAGGUAAAUAUUAAGGAAAGGGGAAAAUGCUAUCUUCUUCUUUUACUCAAACUCUCUUCUAUAAGGACUACAUUUAUAUCAACCUAUGUAUACUAACAUGUGGGGAAAAUGUAAUGUAUAAAUAGGGGGUAAAGAAAGACCAAAUAGAAUAAUCAUUCUCACACAAAGAUUCACAUGGGAAGGGGAGGGGAAGAAAACUCCUAUAAGAAGGAGAGGAAGAGA